rnacentral:rRNA from 1 species
UACGUAGGGGGCAAGCGUUGUCCGGAUUUAUUGGGCGUAAAGAGCGCGCAGGCGGUCGUACAAGUCACGUGUGAAAGCCCCCGGCUCAACUGGGGAGGGUCACGCGAUACUGUUCGACUCGAAGGCAGGAGAGGGUAGUGGAAUUCCCGGUGUAGUGGUGAAAUGCGUAGAUAUCGGGAGGAACACCAGUGGCGAAGGCGACUACCUGGCCUGUUCUUGACGCUGAGGCGCGAAAGCUAGGGUAGCAAACGGG